rnacentral:rRNA from 1 species
GAUGAACGCUGGCGGCGUGCCUAAUACAUGCAAGUCGAGCGAACAGACGAUGAGCUUGCUCCUCUGACGUUAGCGGCGGACGGGUGAGUAACAUGUGGAUAACCUACCUAUAAGACUGGGAUAACUUGGGGAAACCGGAUCUAAUACCAGAUAAUAUAUUGAACCGCAGGGUUCAAUAGUGAAAGACGGUUGUGGGGUCACUUAUAGAUGGAUCCGCGCCGCAUUAGAUAGUUGGUAAGGUAACGGCCUACCAAGGCAACGAGGCGUAGCCGAACUGAGAGGCGGAUCGGCCACACUGGAGCUGAGACCCGGUCAAGAAUCCUCCGGGAGGCAGCAGUCGCGAAUCUUACGCAAUGGGCGAAAGCAUGACGGAGCAACGCGGCGUGAGUGAUGAAGGUCUUGCGUUCGUAAUGCUCUGUUAUUGGGGAAGAACAAAUGUGUAAGUAACUAUGGCCGUCUUGACGGUACCUAAUCAGAAAGCAACGGCUAACUACGUG